rnacentral:snoRNA from 1 species
AGUGGGAAGAUGAUGAUAUCAAUAGUUCAAAUGAGCUGUCGAAGCGAUGCAAUCAAAUUUUCGCCCCUAUCUGAUUUCUAUC